rnacentral:rRNA from 1 species
CGCGUAGGUAAUUUACCUUGAAGUGGGGGAUAGCCCCGGGAAACCGGGAUUAAUACCGCAUGUGAUGCUUCGGCAUCAAAGGUGGCCUCUAUUUAUAAGCUAUCGCUUUGAGAUAAGCCUGCGUCCUAUUAGCUUUGGUGUGGUAAUGGCACACCAAGGCGAUGAUAGGUAGGCGGCCUUAACGGGUGGUCGCCCACACUGGGAUUGAGAUACGGCCCAGACUCCUACGGGAGGCAGCAGUCGAGAAUAGUCUACAAUGGAGGAAACUCUGAUAGUGCGACGCCGCGUGGAUGAUGAAGCAUUUCGGUGUGUAAAGUCCUUUUCUGUAUGAGCAAUGCUUUUAUGGCUAAUACCCAUAAGAGAGAGAUAUUAGUGCAGGAAUAAGCCACGGCUAACUCCGUGCCAGCAGCCGCGGUAAUACGGGGGUGGCAAGCGUUGUCCGGAAUCACUAGGCGUAAAGGGCAAGUAGGCGGAUAUGUAAGUUAGAUGUUAAAGGCACCGGCUCAACCGGUGUAAGGCAUUUGAUACUGCAUAUCUAGAAUUAGGUGGGAGAAGACGGAAUUCCUGGUGUAGCGGUGGAAUGCGUAGAUAUCAGGAAGAACACCGGUGGCGAAGGCGGUCUUCUAUACCAUAAUUGACCUCAAUUGCGAAGGUGUGGGUAUCGAACAGGAUUAGAUACCCUGGUAGUCCACACAGUAAACGAUAGACACUAGGUGUUGGGGGAGUGAAUUCUUCAGUGCCGCAGUUAACGCGUUAAGUGUCUCGCCUGGGGAGUACGAUCGCAAGGUUUAAACUCAAAGGAAUUGACGGGGGCCCGCACAAGCGGUGGAGCAUGUGGUUUAAUUCGAUGCAACGCGAAGAACCCUACCUGGGCUUGACAUCCUAAGAAUCUUUCAGAGAUGAGAGAGUGCCUUUCGGGGAACUUAGAGACAGGUGCUGCAUGGUUGUCGUCAGCUCGUGCCGUGAGGUGUUGGGUUAAGUCCCGCAACGAGCGCAACCCCUAUUUUCAGUUGCUACCAUUAAGUUGAGGACUCUAGAGAGACUGCCAGUGUAAUAAACUGGAGGAAGGUGGGGAUGACGUCAAAUCAUCAUGGUCCUUAUGUCCAGGGCUACACACGUGCUACAAUGGUUUAUACAGAUGGAAGCAAGACCGCGAGGUGGAGCAAAUCCCAAAACGUAAAUCACAGUUCGGAUUGGAGUCUGCAACUCGACUCCAUGAAGUUGGAAUCGCUAGUAAUCGCGUGUCAGCGUAACGCGGUGAAUACGUUCCCGGGCCUUGUACACACCGCCCGUCAAGUCAGCCGAGUUGAUUGCACCCGAAGAAU